CCUACGGGGGGCAGCAGUGGGGAAUAUUGGACAAUGGGGGCAACCCUGAUCCAACCAUGCCGCGUGUGUGAAGAAGGCCCUCGGGUUGUAAAGCACUUUCAGUGAGGAAGAACGCCUGGUGGUUAAUACCCAUCAGGAAAGACAUCACUCACAGAAGAAGCACCGGCUAACUCCGUGCCAGCAGCCGCGGUAAUACGGAGGGUGCGAGCGUUAAUCGGAAUUACUGGGCGUAAAGCGCGCGUAGGUGGCUUGAUAAGCCGGUUGUGAAAGCCCCGGGCUCAACCUGGGAACGGCAUCCGGAACUGUCAAGCUAGAGUGCAGGAGAGGAAGGUAGAAUUCCCGGUGUAGCGGUGAAAUGCGUAGAGAUCGGGAGGAAUACCAGUGGCGAAGGCGGCCUUCUGGACUGACACUGACACUGAGGUGCGAAAGCGUGGGUAGCAAACAGGAUUAGAUACCCUAGUAGUC
rnacentral:rRNA from 1 species